GCCUGAUGCAGCUAUGUCGCGUGUAUGAAGAAGGCCUUAGGGUUGUAAAAUACUUUCGAUAGCAUAAGAAGAUAAUGAAACUAAUAAUUUUGUUAUCAGACGUUAGCUAUAGAAGAAGCACCGGCUAACUCCGUGCCAGCAGCCGCGGUAAUACGGGGGGUGCUAGCGUUAAUCGGAAUUACUGGGCGUAAAGAGCAUGUAGGCGGUUUAUUAAGUCAGAUGUGAAAUCCCUAGACUUAAUCUAGGAACUGCAUUUGAAACUAAUAGACUAGAGUUUCGUAGAGGGAGGUAGAAUUCUAGGUGUAGCGGUGAAAUGCAUAGAUAUCUAGAGGAAUAUCAGUGGCGAAGGCGGCCUCCUGGACGAUAACUGACGCUCAAAUGCGAAAGCAUGGGUAGCAAACAGGAUUAGAUACCCUGGUAGUCCAUGCUGUAAACGAUGUCGACUAAGAGGUUGGGAGCUUGACUUUUAAUCUCUGUAGCUAACGCGUUAAGUCGACCGCCUGGGGAGUACGGUCGCAAGGCUAAAACUCAAAUGAAUUGACGGGGGCCUGCACAAGCGGUGGAGCAUGUGGUUUAAUUCGAUGCAACGCGUAAAACCUUACCUGGUCUUGACAUCCACAGAAUUUUACAGAAAUGUAGAAGUGCAAUUUGAGCUGUGAGACAGGUGCUGCAUGGCUGUCGUCAGCUCGUGUUGUGAAAUGUUGGGUUAAGUCCCGCAACGAGCGCAACCCUUGUCCUUUGUUACCAUAGGAUUUUAUCCAGGGACUCAAAGGAGACUGCCGGUGAUAAACUGGAGGAAGGUGGGGACGACGUCAAGUCAUCAUGGCCCUUAUGACCAGGGCUACACACGUGCUACAAUGGCAUAUACAAAGAGAUGCAAUAUUGCGAAAUAAAGCCAAUCUUAUAAAAUAUGUCCUAGUUCGGACUGGAGUCUGCAACUCGACUCCACGAAGUC
rnacentral:rRNA from 1 species